AGUCUUUAGCACGUAGGCGCCAUGGAUGGCGAAUCGUGCAUACUGCUACUAAGAACCAGCAGUAUCUUCCGAAGAUUUUCU
rfam:Glossina austeni unplaced genomic scaffold Scaffold21, whole genome shotgun sequence.